rnacentral:rRNA from 1 species
AACGUAGGAGGCGAGCGUUAUCCGGAGUUACUGGGCGUAAAGCGUAUGUAGGCGGUUGGGCAAGUGGCGUGUGAAAGCUCCCGGCUAAACUGGGAGAGGACAGGUCAGACUGCUCGGCUAGAGGGUGGUAGAGGAGCGUGGAAUUCGGGGUGUAGCGGUGAAAUGUGUAGAGAUCCCGAGGAACACCAGUGGCGCAAGCGGCGCUCUGGGCCACUACUGACGCUGAGAUACGAAAGCGUGGGGAGCGAACGGG